rnacentral:sRNA from 18 species
UAAUCGUUAUCGCUGAACCCGAAAAGGGGCGGGGGACCCACACUUUUGGGGCGAAUCUCUUCCUACGGGAAGAGUAGGGUUACUCCUUCGACCCGAGCCCGUCAGCUAACCUCGCAAGCGUGGGAAGGAGAAAUA